rnacentral:lncRNA from 1 species
UGGUGGACGGGCGCGAUAGGCGCGGUCAAGAAGCGGCAGGACGAGCAGGCGGCGGCCGCGGAGCCCUCGUACCAGAGCGUGGCCCUCGUCGUCGGAUCCACCGGCAUCGUCGGCACCUCCCUCCUCGACAUCCUCCCGCUCGCCGACACCCCGGCCGGUCCAUGGAAGGUCUACGCCGUCUCGCGCCGCCCGCUCCCGCCCUGGUCCCCGGCGCCCUCCCCCGCCGUCACCCACCUCCACCUCGACCUCGCCGACGCCGCCGCCGUCCACGACGCCCUCACACCCCUCACCGACGUCACCCACGUCUUCUUCGUCGCGUGGACCAGCCGCGCCACCGAGGCGGAGAACCGGGAGGCCAACGCCG